rnacentral:rRNA from 1 species
AUUGAACGCUGGCGGCAGGCCUAACACAUGCAAGUCGAGCGAGCGGCGGACGGGUGAGUAAUGUCUGGGAAACUGCCUGAUGGAGGGGGAUAAAUACUGGAAACGGUAGCUAAUAACGCAUACCAUCAGAUGUGCCCAGAUGGGAUUAGCUAGUGGGUGGGGUGACGGCUCACCGAGGCGACGAUCCGUAGCUGGUCUGAGAGGAUGACCAGCAACACGGGAACUGAGACACGGUCCAGACGCCUACGGUAGGCAGCGGUGGGGAAGAUGGCAAAAUGGGCGCAAGCCUGAUGCAGCCAUGCAGCGUGUGUGAAUAAGACAUUCGGGGUUUAAAGCACUUGCAGCGGUGAGGCGUUACCCGCAGAAGAAGCACCGGCUAACUCCGUGCCAGCAGCCGCGGUAAUUC